ensembl:lncRNA
GCGAUGCACCAGAUGAAUCCCUGGCCAAAGAACAGUUCUCCACAGUCGCUGUCCACAUGGGUCAGUGGGACCAAGAAGCACUCUGCUAAUGUGGGACUCUGACCAGCAACAUCCAGCAAGACCCAGACAGCGUUUUCUAUCUCCCAGCUGGAGUUUUUUGUUUGUCUAUGAUGGGAGAGUCAGAUUUUUGUUGAGCUUCACACUUGCAGAGGUUAAUACACUCUACUGAUCCCUGAUGGGAGAAUCAUCAAUUUUGGCAACAAAGAAGCCUGGUGGAUGUUUGUUUACAGUCUGAUGAUGGGACAUCAUGCUCUGCAUCUUCAAAGUUUGCCUCCUCAUUAUUAUUCAUACCCAGUAAUGUGAAGUAUGCUUAUAUCUACUAUAACUGAACCAACCUGGUGCUCUUCAUUUAUGGAGGCUGUUGAGUCUGAAUGUUGUGUAUCUCGUGUUCUCUGGGCUUUGUCCUCAGUCUUUUCGCAGGAUCAGAAAACAAAACCAGGAGGCGCGUAAAUGUUUCUUCUCCAUGAUGUUUCUUCAAAUGUUUCUUCUGGAUGAUGAUAAGACUGUGACACGGGAUGCCACCUUUGGUCUUGUGAUGAAGCAAAGGUCAGGAAGAAGUGGGAUUAACUGGUACCCACAUCUGAGAAGGAUGUACAGGGGCACCUGCAGCCAAAUCCAAGCUUCAGAGCAGAGCGGCAGUUUGUGCUCACAGAUGGUGACGGUGUGGAGAGACGGUGGUGUUUCCUCAGAAGAACCAGCAGAGUCACUUGCUGACUGAUGUUCGUCUGCACUGCACAGAGGAAAUCAACUGACCGAGGAGUGUUUCUGAGUGAGGGGGGAGGAGUCAUCAUCCAGGUAAAGUGACAUAGAUCAGUGGAUACACUUGUCUCCCCUUUAAAGGAGACGAUCCAAGUCAUCCUUAAAUAUGGGCAGCAUAUCAGUCUUGGACUGUGUAACCUGCCGGAGCAGCACUGAAUGACCACCACACAUGAGCAUGUUCCUGCAACAUUCAGCAUCUGAUCCUUCAUCUGUGUGCUUCUGCUUUUGUGUCACAUGUCAAACAGCUGGAGAGGAAACUACACCAGUGUACUGGGAUGUUUCACCAACACACCAGAUGCUGUUCCUUCAUGGUGACAUCACCAGAGACAGCCCCGCCCACCUCAGGACCUCGCCAUUGAUCAUGAUGAUUAUAAUGAUGACAGCGAGCGGAACUAAGACUGUAAAAAUCCACGACCAGAAUGUUUCUUUCUAAUUAUGAAUGAAUACUGAGAGCCUCUUUCUGUGUUUUGUCUGUUUUGGGGUUGUUUUUUUUACCUCAUUUGUUACUAACAAAGUUCACAAACUCACACAGUUUACAUUCUGUAUGUUUCCAUCUUUACCAGCCACACUAACUGCAUUUAAGAAAAUAAUCCUUAGAAAUCGUCGUUUUUCUCUUUUGUAAUUGAUGAUAAUUCAGUGAAUAUACUGCGCUGCUUCCUUUUAUUGCGUCACACAUUGCUUUAAGUUUUUCAGUGUCCAGUUAUUUUUUACUGCUGUUUGAAUUCUCUGUAUGUUUGACCCUGUAGACUGUUUGAUGGACUGCUUGUCUUCCUGUUUGUUACCGCCGCCUGUUUUUUAAUAAAGAUUUGGAUUUCUGACUUCAACACA